CCGUACUCCCCAGGCGGGGCGCUUAAUGCGUUAGCUGCGGCACAGAGAACCGGAGAGGUCCCCCACACCUAGCGCCCAACGUUUACAGCGUGGACUACCAGGGUAUCUAAUCCUGUUCGCUCCCCACGCUUUCGCUCCUCAGCGUCAGUAUCGGCCCAGAGACCCGCCUUCGCCACCGGUGUUCCUCCUGAUAUCUGCGCAUUCCACCGCUCCACCAGGAAUUCCGUUCUCCCCUGCAUCCCUCUAGUCCGCCCGUAUCAAAAGCAGGCUCGGGGUUAAGCCCCGAGUUUUCACUCCUGACGCGACGGCCCGCCUACAAGCCCUUUACGCCCAAUAAUUCCGGACAACGCUCGGACCCUACGUAUCACCGCGGCUGCUGGCACGUAGUUAGCCGGUCCUUCUUCUGUAGGUACCGUCACGUUAGCUUCGUCCCUAC
rnacentral:rRNA from 1 species